AUACGGAGGGUGCAAGCGUUACUCGGAAUCACUGGGCGUAAAGGACGCGUAGGCGGGUUGUCAAGUCAGAUGUGAAAUCCUACAGCUUAACUGUAGAACUGCAUUUGAAACUGGCAACCUAGAGUAUGGGAGGGGGAGAUGGAAUUAGUGGUGUAGGGGUAAAAUCCGUAGAUAUCACUAGGAAUACCGAAAGCGAAGGCGAUCUCCUGGAACAUAACUGACGCUAAGGCGUGAAAGCGUGGGGAGCAAACGGGAUUAGAAACCCCAGUAGUCC
rnacentral:rRNA from 1 species